rnacentral:sRNA from 1 species
UCGAUCUGCUGCGGGCAGAUAUAGUGAAUAUGGCUGUCAAACCCGCCAGCCGUCAGGAUACGCCCCUCGCCCGCGAUGAUCUCGGUGCCUGCGCCGAUGGGGAUGGUGAUCUUGGGCUGCGUGUCGGGAUUGCCCGCCUUGCCGAUGGCGGCGAUGCGCCCAUCCUUCAGGCCAAUAUCCGCUUUAUAAAUCCCCGUGUAAUCGACCACCAAAGCAUUGGUGAUGACCGUGUCCAUCACCCCUUCAGCGCGGGUCAAUUGCGAUUGGCCCAUGCCAUCGCG